UACGUAGGCAGCGAGCGUUGUUCGGAUUUACUGGGCGUAAAGAGUGCGUAGGCGGUUUUCUAAGUUUGGUGUGAAAUCUCCCGGCUUAACUGGGAGGGUGCGCCGAAGACUGGAAGGCUUGAGUAUGGGAGAGGUAAGCGGAAUUCCUGGUGUAGCGGUGAAAUGCGCAGAUAUCAGGAGGAACACCAAUGGCGAAGGCAGCUCGCUGGAACGGUACUGACGCUGAGGCGCGAAAGCGUGGGGAGCAAACAGG
rnacentral:rRNA from 1 species